rnacentral:lncRNA from 1 species
UCAAAACCCAGACAGAAACGUCCAACAAACUCCCAGUCCAGGAGCGCUGCAAAACCAACGCCAGUUGUUUUUCUGCAGAAAAUCAUCAACUGUGGAGAAGAAGAAGGGAAAUAAGAAAGAAAGAAAACCCUAAAAACCACCCUGGCGCCCGGGCCCGCAGGCCUCGGGCCGGCUCUGAAAAGUUUGGGCUGUGCACGUGAUGAGCGCGUAGGCGGGAGCCCCAGACAGGACCCGGGCGGGCAUUUCGAGAAAAAGCAGCGGUGACAGCCUUUGGUCCCCAUCUCCAUUGUUCCUGCCAGCUCUGGACCCCAGGCUGCAUGAGAGAGUUGGCCUGUUUCCUCUCAUCUCUGGCUCCAUGACUUCAAUCCUCCUGCAGCUUCCACUGCCCCUAUCUGGCUCAUGUCUUGCUGUCUGGUGUCAUGAACUGGGAGUGCAGUAAAGAGGAGUGACAAGCCUGAGGGGCCACGUUCAUACCUGCCACUGCCAACUGUCCUGAUGUAACUGCUUUGUCAUCUUGCCUGCCAGGAUUUGUGACAAGGUAAUAGCGUCUAGUUUGGGGUCUCUAUAAUCCUGCUCCUUUGGCUGCCAGCCAUCUCCAUAAAAAAAGAAUUUGAAAGGCUUCCAUUCUUUCAGAGACCUGUUUCCCGGGACUGGCUUGAAAGGAUUGGGAGGAAGAAUGAAAAGAUACCUUUCCUUUAGACAUUUCUAAGCUUGCAAAUGCACAGGCAAUGAGAACCACCUCUCUUCACUCCCUGGCAUUUGAGGCUUUUUACGUAAAAAUUUAAACUAAUGAUUAUAUUAGAAAUUUUUAAAUGUUUAAAAAAAGUAUGUUGUAAAAUUGAGGAAAUAUAGUAUUUUGAGAGUCCAAACACGUUCAUGCAGUUGAUUGAGCCUAAGUGUUGGGUUAAUCCUAGUAAGUGAUUGAUCUUUUUAGGUAGGUAAGGGAAUAAACAGAAGAUCAGAAAAGAAGAGGUACUACUAUUACAUUUUAAGUUUCCAAAUAUACUACUAAGUGUCUCUAGUAAAACUUAACUCAUUGAAGAAGAAAAUAGUCUGACUCUAAAAAAAGAGUGUGUGUUCCUGAGAAAGACUAAACCAGUUAUUUUCUCCUUUCAUGUUUGAAUGAAUAACCAUCAGCAAGGGAGAGAUGCACUGACCUUCUGCCAGGUAUAGAACUAUUGAAUGGUACAGUUUGAGAUCUUCGAAACCAUCAGGACUGAUCAUUUUCUGGCUACUUUCUACAUAGGAAUCCUAGAGUUCCUUGGAGAGGAUAUGAAGGUUAUUCUCAGGCCAUGCAGAUGGGCAAGAAAGGAUGUGCGUCCAUGGUUCCUCUUCAAAUCCAACCAAAACAGCCUUGCUUCCGUUGGCUUUAUAUAAUACUGCAACUCUUGAUAAUCUGAUUUAACACAAAUUUCCUCAUUGAGUUUCUCCUCAUGAAGAAACGGCCUCAGUGAGGUAAAUCGGAAUGCACAGGAGCACAUAGCAGGUUAGUGCAGACCAGAAAUCAAACCCAGGCUUUCUGACUGCUCAAUAGACCACAAUCUACCAUGCUACCAUGGAAACUUUAAAACAGAUGAAAGUAAAAACAAACAAACAACAACUUAAAAAAACAAAAACAAAAACAAAAGCAAAACCCAGAGCCUCUCUAGGAAAUACCAACGUGCUUUUGCCAAGUGGGGUUUCUCUCACUUCAUAAGAGCAGUAAACACUAAACCAAGGGAAUGUGAAUUUAGAGGUUAGAAAAGAUAACCAGAGAUUUGGCCGUGCGUGGGGCUCAUGCCUGUAAUCCCAGCACUUUGGGAGGCUGAGGCUGGUGGGUUGCCUGAGGUCAGGAGUUUGAGACCAGCCUGGCCAACAUAGUGAAACCCUGUCUCUACUAAAAAUACAAAAAUUAGCUGGGUGUGGUGGCGUGCACCUGUAAUCCCA